CUUCCCCGUUCCGAAUCGUCUUGACCCUGCCCUGGCUAAGCUGGGAAGCUGAGCCUCUGAGUCUGGGGCCCUGUCUCUAUCCCGAGUGAUAUGUUUCUGUGAUGACUGUAUUAAGGCUCAAAUCUAAAAAAAAAUCUAAAAUACUUACCUAGGGCGUUUGCAAGUGGAUUUAGACCCUUUUAUUCAGCUGCUUGAAUCCAAAUCUGGAUCGUGAAACCAUGGACGCUCACACUUUUCGACAGGAGCAGGGAUUUGUUUCACAAAAGAUUUGUAAGUGUAAGUUCGCAACCUUAUGUUGGUUGCAUACGCGAGUUUCUAUCGAUAAUAUCAGAAGCUAGAUUUAGGACGAGUUUGAGAAACCGUUCCCGGAAGUUAAUGAUCGGACAAAGUUCACGGAGCUUCGGUUUCCCAUUGAUGAUGUUGGAACUUGUGUGUAAGUGCCACGUUUGAUAAAUUUAAAUCGAAAAUACCAUGCCUCUUAGAUUGGAUAUAAAGCGAAAGCUUUCAGCACGGUCUGACCGUGUAAAGUGCGUUGACCUUCAUCCAUCUGAGCCAUGGAUGCUUGUCAGUUUGUACAAUGGUAACGUACAUGUAUGGAACCAUGAA